rnacentral:lncRNA from 1 species
GAUGAGACGUACUCGUUUUCACCUGUGAAUCUCGACAUGACCAGCAGCGAUUCUGUGUUGUAGAGGUGAGUUCCUCUAGACUGCAUGUAAUGCCGUUGUGUCUGUGUUACCUGCAGUUUUGAAGGUGCCACUGGGUGUUCAAUAGACUUGCUGAGAGAUGGGCUCAUGUCUGCUCCUGAGCCACUAGGUCUUUCCCUAAGCCUAUGGAGCUUCGCAAGAGACUUCUAAGGGCCAGUUGGUCUCACUGGAUGAAGCAGAGAGCUGGCCUGUGGCACUCAGGAGUCAGCACUUGGAGAAGAUGGAAGGAACAGCAGGAGCCUUGCCGAGCCCCAGGCCAGGGAGGACAUGAGUGAAGGGCGCCGGGCGGUGCACGUCUCCGCUCCCAAUCUCUCUGGCUGUCACGUCUCCCAGCUUCUUGCCAACUCACAUCCCCGACCCCCAGAUGCCUCUCUCUGUCUUCUGGAGGUGGCUGGGGAGAAGUUCUUACCAUUACAGAAGGAGGCCAUUCACCUCCACUUCCCUCUUCCAGAUUAUUCUCUGGGAAAACUGGGUGCUUUUCAUUUGCAAUCCAGGGGCUGCCACCACUUUGGAGAAUGUUAAAAUCCAAUUUUAUAUAAAGAAGGGCUCUUUUAUUUCUUCUUUCUCUAUGAGGGAGAAAGAGAAGCAAGAUUGAUCUCAGUUUUUAACACAAUUGAAAAUGGCUUUUAGCCAAUUUUCUGUUUUACCCUGCUGUGCUCUGCCAGCCAAGGUAGGAGAAGAACAAGCAGCCUGUGUUCCUGGAGCACUUUUCUGAGAACAGGAAAAUAUCAGUGAUUUGGAUAAUUAAAUGUCUGGAUUAAAAUUUACCUAUGCCACAUCUUUAAAUAAAAAAUCUUGAUUAAAUAAUAUCAGCAAAGCAAACAGGAUGAUAAAGUAGAAUAUCUGUCUGAUUUAGUGAAGCAACCAUUUUUAUUGAUUGUAUACAUAAGUAAUGCUCAUUGUGAUCCAAGUUAAUCUCCUUAUUAAAACAUAUCACACAAGGAUCUCUACUAAUCAGGAAACAUUUAUUAGUCUAGUUUGGGUAUAUAACUGGCUUUCUUGGGUUUUGUUGCUUUUAACAAUUCAGAUUUUAAUCUCCCACUUGCCAGAGAUUGUCCUUGUCCACGAGGUUUCACCAGGGAUUUACCUGG